rnacentral:rRNA from 1 species
AACGAACGCUGGCGGCAGGCCUAACACAUGCAAGUCGAGCGCCCCGCAAGGGGAGCGGCGGACGGGUGAGUAACACGUGGGAAUUUUCCUCAAGGUACGGAACAACUCAGGGAAACUUGGGCUAAUACCGUAUGAUGCAGAGAUGCCAAAGAUUUAUCGCCUUGGGAUAAGCCCGCGUCAGAUUAGGUAGUUGGUGAGGUAACGGCUCACCAAGCCUGUGAUCUGUAGCUGGUCUGAGAGGACGAUCAGCCACAUUGGGACUGAGACACGGCCCAAACUCCUACGGGAGGCGGCAGUGGGGAAUCUUGCGCAAUGGGCGAAAGCCUGACGCAGCCAUGCCGCGUGAAUGAUGAAGGUCUUAGGAUUGUAAAGUUCUUUCGCCCGUGACGAUGAUGACGGUAACGGGAGAAGAAGCCCCGGCUAACUUCGUGCCAGCAGCCGCAGUAACAC